AGCGAACGCUGGCGGCAUGCCUAACACAUGCAAGUCGAACGAACCUUUCGGGGUUAGUGGCGGACGGGUGAGUAACACGUGGGAACGUGCCCUUAGGUUCGGAAUAACUCAGGGAAACUUGUGCUAAUACCGAAUGUGCCCUUCGGGGGAAAGAUUUAUCGCCUUUAGAGGGGCCCGCGUUUGAUUAGCUAGUUGGUUGAGGUAAUGGCUCACCAAGGCGACGUUCAGUAGCUGGUCUGAGAGGAUGAUCAGCCACAUUGGGACUGAGACACGGCCCAAACUCCUACGGGAGGCAGCAGUGGGGAAUCUUGCGCAAUGGGCGAAAGCCUGACGCAGCCAUGCCGCGUGAAUGAUGAAGGUCUUAGGGUUGUAAAAUUCUUUCACCGGGGACGAUAAUGACGGUACCCGGAGAAGAAGCCCCGGCUAACUUCGUG
rnacentral:rRNA from 1 species